rnacentral:snRNA from 1 species
UCGCUUCAGCAGCACAUAUACUAAAAUUGGAACGACACAGAGGAGAUUAGCAUGGCCCCCGCGCAAGGAUGACACACAAAUUCAUGAAGAG